rnacentral:rRNA from 1 species
UACAGAGGUCCCAAGCGUUGUUCGGAUUCACUGGGCGUAAAGGGUGCGUAGGCGGUCGGGUAAGUCUGAUGUGAAAUCUCACAGCUUAACUGUGAAACUGCAUUGGAUACUAUUCGGCUUGAGAGUUGGAGGGGGGACUGGAACUCUUGGUGUAGCAGUGAAAUGCGUAGAUAUCAAGAGGAACACCAGUGGCGAAGGCGAGUCCCUGGACAACUUCUGACGCUGAGGCACGAAAGCUAGGGGGAGCAAACAGG